rfam:Salmo salar isolate Sally breed double haploid chromosome ssa16, whole genome shotgun sequence.
UGGCUCAGUUGGUAGAGCAUGGUGUUUCCAAUGCCAGGGUUGUGGGUUCGAUUCCCAC